ACACCGGCGGCCCGAGUGGUAGCCACUAUUAUUGGGUCUAAAGGGUCCGUAGCCGGUUUGAUCAGUCUUCCGGGAAAUCUGACAGCUCAACUGUUAGGCUUCCGGGAGAUACUGUCAGGCUUGGGACCGGGAGAGGUAAGAGGUACUACAGGGGUAGGAGUGAAAUCUUGUAAUCCCUGUGGGACCACCAGUGGCGAAGGCGUCUUACCAGAACGGGUCCGACGGUGAGGGACGAAAGCUGGGGGCACGAACCGGAUUAGAUACCCGGGUAGUCCCAGCCGUAAACGAUGCUCGCUAGGUGUCUGGGAUGGUGCGACCGUUUCAGGUGCCGCAGGGAAGCCGUGAAGCGAGCCACCUGGGAAGUACGGCCGCAAGGCUGAA
rnacentral:rRNA from 2 species